rnacentral:rRNA from 1 species
UACGUAUGGGGCGAGCGUUGUUCGGAAUUAUUGGGCGUAAAGGGCGUCUAGGCGGGGGAUUAAGUUAGGUGUGAAAGCCAUGAGCUCAACUCGUGAAUUGCACUUAAAACUGGUUCUCUUGAGUUCGGGAGAGGAGAGCGGAAUUCCAGGUGUAGCGGUGAAAUGCGUAGAUAUCUGGAAGAACACCAGUGGCGAAGGCGGCUCUCUGGCCUAGAACUGACGCUGAAGCGCGAAAGCGUGGGGAGCGAACGGG